rnacentral:lncRNA from 1 species
CAAAGGUGUUCUUUGGCCCAAAUUUCCAAACCCUCUAGUUCUUCAUCUAAAACUUGGUCUGCAGGGGAAGAGCAUCAAGCAAAUGGCAGUGGGAUGGAUCAAAGCAAAUGCUCUGGGCUACACCUUGCUCUUGAGGGAUGCUCUGGGGACAAAGAUGUCUGCUGGUACUUCAUCACAAUGCAUCUCCUGUGAUCAAGACUCAGUCCCUGUGGUGCCCAGCUGCUCAUUUUUGCCCAGACAUUCUUCAGGUCUCCAUCAUUUGUCUCAAAUUCCAUGGGAAAGGGACUGGGGGAGGUCACUCCCAUGCUUCACAUAUGAGGUACAAAUUAAAUUACUUUUUACCUGUCCUACUUAAUAUAAAUCAAAUAUUUCCUUUUUGUAGAUUUAUUAUUUACUCUAGAAAAUGGUGAUGUUAAUGUUCACUUCCUCCCUAGGCUUGGAUACCCAAAGACACAGUGAGUUUUCACCAAAUGUUCCUCAGAGAACAACUCAGUCUGAGAAAUCCUCCCACAAAUCCUGCACUUAUGCACGUGAUCAGCCCUGCCAAUCCACUGCAGACUGCAAACAGCCUCUGACAGGAUUCCAAACAGUUAAUGUCAAAUAGCUCAUUUUCUCUCAUCUCCAUACAAAUUCCUGUCAUGUUGCAUUACAUGUAAACAACUGAGAAGCUUAAUGGCAUGCCUUUCAGUCAAAAAUUCAUAUGGCUUUUCAAUCUGAGCAGAUUAAUUGCAGUUUGUAACAAUAUGAAGUAAUUCAAUUUGAUUAGAGUUUCUAUUGUUCUUUGAGAUAAAAUAUUUUAUGUGAAUGUAAAGCCAAGUUUUCUGCUGGCACAACUUUAUUGACUUCUGUGGAAAUAUAAAAUACUCAUCUAAAAUCCAUAGUAUAUCAUUGUUGGUGUGCUGUACAGUAAAUAAAUUUUAUAAGCUUCUGUAAAUUCUAUGUGCC